rnacentral:rRNA from 1 species
GACGAACGUUGGCGGCGUGCUUAACACAUGCAAGUCGAACGGAAAGGCCCUGCUUUUGUGGGGUGCUCGAGUGGCGAACGGGUGAGUAACACGUGAGUAACCUGCCCUUGACUUUGGGAUAACUUCAGGAAACUGGGGCUAAUACCGGAUAGGAGCUCCUGCUGCAUGGUGGGGGUUGGAAAGUUUCGGCGGUUGGGGAUGGACUCGCGGCUUAUCAGCUUGUUGGUGGGGUAGUGGCUUACCAAGGCUUUGACGGGUAGCCGGCCUGAGAGGGUGACCGGCCACAUUGGGACUGAGAUACGGCCCAGACUCCUACGGGAGGCAGCAGUGGGGAAUAUUGCACAAUGGGCGGAAGCCUGAUGCAGCAACGCCGCGUGCGGGAUGACGGCCUUCGGGUUGUAAACCGCUUUCGCCGGUGACGAAGCGUGAGUGACGGUAAUGGGUAAAGAAGCACCGGCUAACUACGUG